GAUUAACGCUGGCGGCGUGCCUAACACAUGCAAGUCGAGCGGCAGCGAGUUUUACACUGAAUUCUGGAAGCUUCUAGUUGAAAGAGAAGAUUUAUUCAAGAAUUUUGUGUAAAAUGUCGGCGAGCGGCGGACGGCUGAGUAACGCGUGGGAACGUACCCCAAAGUGAGGGAUAACGCAUCGAAAGGUGUGCUAAUACCGCAUAUGGUCUUCGGAUUAAAGCCUUCGGGCGCUUUGGGAACGGCCUGCGUAAGAUUAGAUAGUUGGUGGGGUAAUGGCCUACCAAGUCGACGAUCUUUAACUGGUUUGAGAGGAUGAUCAGUCAGACUGGAACUGAGACACGGUCCAGACUCCUACGGGAGGCAGCAGUGAGGAAUCUUCCACAAUGGGCGAAAGCCUGAUGGAGCAACGCCGCGUGCAGGAUGAAGGCCCUCGGGUUGUAAACUGCUUUUAUAAGUGAGGAUUAUGACAGUAACUUAUGAAUAAGGAUCGGCUAACUACGUG
rnacentral:rRNA from 1 species